rnacentral:rRNA from 1 species
UACGUAGGGUGCGAGCGUUAAUCGGAAUUACUGGGCGUAAAGGGUGCGCAGGCGGUUUUGUAAGCCAGAUGUGAAAUCCCCGGGCUCAACCUGGGAAUGGCAUUUGGGACUGCAAGGCUAGAGUGUGGCAGAGGAGACUGGAAUUCCUGGUGUAGCAGUGAAAUGCGUAGAUAUCAGGAGGAAUACCGAUGGCGAAGGCAGGUCUCUGGGCUGACACUGACGCUCAUGCACGAAGCGUGGGGAGCAAACAGG